rnacentral:lncRNA from 1 species
GUCUAGCAGCAGAAUGUCUUUGAAACAGCUGUGCCUAUGACCAAGUUCAUGCAUCGUGGUAGACAAGAUGCUUCUCUGUCCAUCGCUCUGACCUGCCAACUCUGGUGCAAGUGUGCAGUUGUGGCAAGAGGGAUUUCCUAGUCCUGAUUUGACCUGGUGGACACCAACUUUCCUAGUCAAUUGCCGAUGUUGCUGAGGAGGCAGCAGUAUCAAAGCCCUUGUUGAUGAAGAUAGAACAAGUUUGGGGAGGCUUUGGCAUUUCUGCACAAUGCUGCUUCCUGAUUGUGACCCAAGACGCAGAUUCUGAACUAGGCAAAGUAAGCUAGAUAUCCCAAACUCCAGAUUACAUCUGAUCUUCAUCUCUGAUCUGAAAAGCUUCGCAGGCCAAAAGAGAAUUGAGAUGAGGAGUGAAAUACAGAAUGCUGGUGAAUCUUUCCAGUUCCCACCCAAACCACUUGGCGAGCCAAGCCAAAUCACCGAAAAUGGAAGUAGUGGAACUACUUCCAAACCGUGCUGCUGCUUCUAAACCAAACUGCAGUAUAGGUGGGGACAGAGCAAGGGGACACAAGCCAGCCAGGGCGAAAUUGAAAGUCACCUGUCUGAGCCACGGAAGGCAGGCAGCAGCAGUUCCCCUGUGGGCUGUGCAGGGAGAGGCCCCUGGUGGAGCAGGCUGUCCCCCUGCAGCCCAUGGGUCCCCCAUGGAGCAGAUCUCCACGCUGCAGCCCCCCCAUGGGUGGAGGAGCCCCCGCUGGAGCAGGUGGAUGUGGCCUGGAGGAGGCUGCGGCCCAUGGAGAGCCCCCGCAGGAGCAGGCCCCAGGCCGGAGCUGCAGCCCGUGGAGAGGAGCCCACGCAGGAGCAGGGGGCCUGGGGGGAGCUGCCCCCACCCGUGGGGGACCCGUGCUGGAGCAGUUUGCUCCUGGUGGAUGGACCCCAUGGGACGGAGCCGUGUGGGAGCAGUGCUUGAAGAGCUGCUGCCUGUGGGCAACCCCCACGGGCUCAGUUGGGGAAGGACGGCAUCCCUGGGAGGGACCCCAUGUUGGAGCAAGGGCAGAGAGUGA